GGGCGGUUAGUCUCAGUUGGUAGAGCACUGCCUUCACACGGCAGGGGUCGCUGGUUCGAGUCCAGUACCGCCCA
rfam:Chromobacterium violaceum ATCC 12472, complete genome.